rnacentral:rRNA from 1 species
UACGGAGGGUGCGAGCGUUGUCCGGAAUCAUUGGGCGUAAAGGGCGCGUAGGUGGCUUCUUAAGCGUGCGGUGAAAGCCUGGGGCUCAACCCCGGGUCGGCCGUGCGAACUGGGGGGCUGGAGCACUGUAGAGGCAGGCGGAAUUCCGGGUGUAGCGGUGGAAUGCGUAGAGAUCCGGAAGAACACCGGUGGCGAAGGCGGUUCGCUGGGCCGUAGCUGACGCUGAGGCGCGACAGCGUGGGGAGCAAACAGG